rnacentral:rRNA from 1 species
CCAGACUCCUACGGGAGGCAGCAGUGAGGAAUAUUGGUCAAUGGCCGGAAGGCUGAACCAGCCAAGCCGCGUGAGGGAGGAAGGCGCAGAGCGUCGCAGACCUCUUUUGCCGGGGGACAAAAGGCCGGACGGGUCCGGUUCUGAGGGUACCCGGAGAAAAAGCAUCGGCUAACUCCGUGCCAGCAGCCGCGGUAAUACGGAGGAUCCGAGCGUUAUCCGGAUUUAUUGGGUUUAAAGGGAGCGUAGAUGGGUUGUUAAGUCAGUUGUGAAAGUUUGCGGCUCAACCGUAAAAUUGCAAUUGAUACUGGCAGCCUUGAGUACAGUUGAGGUAGGCGGAAUUCGUGGUGUAGCGGUGAAAUGCUUAGAUAUCACGCAGAACUCCGAUUGCGAAGGCAGCAUACCGGCGCCCGACUGACGCUGAGGCACGAAAGCGUGGGUAUCGAACAGGAUUAGAUACCCGAGUA